UUGUUUUCAAGAACUUUGAAGUUAGAAAGAAUACCAAGUCUGCAAGGUUAAAAGUUUUGAAAGUUUAUGAACAACAAUUUUGAUGUACUAAGCAUGCAAAUGUCACAUAUUCAAAGAGGUUGGUUCUAUAGAUUCAUUUAAUUUGGAGAAAAAUGGACAAGCCGGAAAAAACAAAGUUGAAUGGUAUUAGGUUUAGUUAGAAUUGAGAGGGACCCGCCAUUUGAACGAGCGGAUCUAGAGGAUUUGAUGAGGCUUUUACGCCUUGGUAAUGGGACAACACACUUAACUUAUAGUGGUUUGUCCUAGACUUAAAGCGACGUUGACAAGAUUGAGACAAGUAAGACGAGAAUGGUGAAAGUUUUAAUAUAGAUGAGGGUUGAAUCUCUUAGUGAUGUGAUUAUCAGAAGAGAUAUUCGCAAGAGAAAGAAGCGCGGUGCAAGUACAACCCUAGCUUCCAAGGGCAUUCAAAGUUGCACGACCAAAAGGUUAUGAGAAAAAAAAGAUAUUGUAUGUUUUACGUAAGUUCGUACUAAAAAAUAUUACCAUAUGCUAAUCCAAACACUUAGAAUGACUUUUCUUGAGCAAAAAUCAAGAUGUUUCUCUUAUGAGGUUUACUAAGCCAAAUCUUUAGGUAUUUCUUGAAAGAGAUUUACAUUUAGUGAUUGUCACAAAUAAACAUUAGAUAGCUUUAUAUGUACUCCUAAUUAUGCAUACACUCUAAAUAAACAUAUGACUACUUCCCACGGCCGUAUUGCUAUGUAUCCGCGCUAACUAUUUAGAUUCAGUCAGAGACAAAAUCGAGCAAUCUAUAGGAUCGUCGAUAAGGAUUCCCUCAAAUGAUCGAAAUUCACCCUUUUGGAGGUUGAUCAUAAAUUCUAACUUUGUUUAUAUAUUGAAAUUAAUUCACUCAAAACCAUGACCAUGAGUCCAUCAUAGGGCAUUAUUCUUUUCUUACUAAUGUGGUACGAUACCCUUUUUGACUAUUUAAUGCACAAACUUACUAUUUCCUAUCAAAAUAUGUAAAUUUGCCUUCAUGUAUAUGGUAUAAACUUGACACCUAUGUUCCAUUUAAUCAUCAAAAUAUGAUAGAUGCUUGUUGCAUUAAAUAUUUAAAUGACUACCCCAAAAUUCAUAUUUUAGUAACAAACCAUAACUAUGUUAUACUAAAAAGAUAAAAAAUAAAAAUAAAAACAAGUUUCAUACAAUUUAAUUAGAAUUAAUCAGUAAACCUACCUGUAAUGAAACCUUCACGGUCUCUUGUGAGUCGAGUUCUUACAAUCCCAGGAUGUACACAGUUUACCGUCACAUUUUCUAGAAUAGUAACAUAUUGAGAUAGGGUAAUAUUAGUGUGAAUAUAUAACUUUUUUUUGAGCAUAUCAAUUUCUAGAUUUUCUUGGAUAUAGCAACUUAUUCGGAUAGGUUAAUAUUGAAUAUAUAAUACUCUUUUUGAACAUAUCAAUUUCUAGAUUUUCUAGGAUAUAGCAACAUAUUCGGAUAGGUUAAUAUUAGUGUGAAUAUAUAACAACUUUUCUUGACAUUAUUUUCUGUGUGAAUAUAUAAUAACACUUUUUAACAUUAUUUUCUGGAUUUUCUAGAAUAAAUGAAUAUGAGAUUUAAGCUUCUAAACUUUUGAUUUUUGUUGUGAAGUACACCACUUACAUGAGAAGAUUUAGAGGCAGAUUAAGAGCUUCAAAUUCCGAAACAAAUUGCCUAACCGAUUUCAUAGAACUCAAAUCCAGAUGCAUGACGGUUAUCUUCGAAUCACAAAACUCGGAUGCAAAUCGAUUCUUCAUUUCUGUAGCCACUUUCAGGUUCCGAGCUGGUAAAACAAGGCGCGCGCCUCGCUUAGCCAGGACUCGAGCUGUCUCAGCACCAAUUCCGGAAGUAGCACCUUUGAUGAUGGCAGUGCAGGAGUGAAGAUCACCGCAGUUAUCGGUCACUUGUUCCGCGGUGGUUUUAGAGCCGUAGCCGCUCGGUCCGGUUGAGCCGAGAAGAUACUUGAUCGUUUCAAGCAUUUCUUGAUGAACUUUUUUUAUUGUGUUUAUUGUACGGUUAGCAUU
rnacentral:lncRNA from 1 species